AGAUUCUUCGGAUGAUUGAUUGGUGACUGAGUGGCGGACGGGUGAGUAACGCGUGGGUAACCUGCCCUGUACAGGGGGAUAACAGUUGGAAACGGCUGCUAAUACCGCAUAAGCGCACGAGAGGACAUCCUCUUGUGUGAAAAACUCCGGUGGUACAGGAUGGGCCCGCGUCUGAUUAGCUGGUUGGCAGGGUAACGGCCUACCAAGGCGACGAUCAGUAGCCGGUCUGAGAGGAUGAACGGCCACAUUGGAACUGAGACACGGUCCAAACUCCUACGGGAGGCAGCAGUGGGGAAUAUUGCGCAAUGGGGGAAACCCUGAUGCAGCAACGCCGCGUGAGUGAAGAAGUAUUUCGGUAUGUAAAGCUCUAUCAGCAGGGAAGAUAAUGACGGUACCUGACUAAGAAGCUCCGGCUAAAUACGUGCCAGCAGCCGCGGUAAUACGUAUGGAGCAAGCGUUAUCCGGAUUUACUGGGUGUAAAGGGUGCGUAGGUGGCAGUGCAAGUCAGAUGUGAAAGGCCGGGGCUCAACCCCGGAGCUGCAUUUGAAACUGCAUAGCUGGAGUACAGGAGAGGCAGGCGGAAUUCCUAGUGUAGCGGUGAAAUGCGUAGAUAUUAGGAGG
rnacentral:rRNA from 1 species